rnacentral:tRNA from 1 species
UUAGAAGAAGCUAUUAUAGCAUUUCACUGUUACUGAAAAGAUAGGGAUUUAUUGCCCCUUCUGAG